rnacentral:rRNA from 1 species
CCUACGGGAGGCAGCAGUGAGGAAUAUUGGUCAAUGGCCGGAAGGCUGAACCAGCCAUGCCGCGUGAAGGUCAGUGCCCUAUGGGCGUUAAACUUCUUUUGUGCGGGAGCAAUAAUGGUCACGUGUGGCCAGACGAGAGUACCGUACGAAUAAGCAUCGGCUAACUCCGUGCCAGCAGCCGCGGUAAUACGGGGAGUGCAAGCGUUAUCGGGAUUUAUCGGGUUUAAAGGGGGCGUAGGCUGUGAGGUAAGUCAGCGUGGAAAUGCCCCGGCUCAACGGGGUGAAGUGCCAUUGAUACUGGCUUGCUGGAGUGCGGAUGCCGUGGGAGGAAUGUGUGGUGCAGCGGUGAAAUGCAUAGAUAUCACACAGAACACCGAUUGCGAAGGCAUCUCACGAAUCCGCGAUUGACGCUGAUGCACGAAAGCGUGGGUAUCAAACAGGAUUAGAUACCCGAGUAGUC